UGGGGAAUAUUGCACAAUGGGCGCAAGCCUGAUGCAGCCAUGCCGCGUGUAUGAAGAAGGCCUUCGGGUUGUAAAGUACUUUCAGAGGGGAGGAAGGCGAUAAGGUUAAUAACCUUGUCGAUUGACGUUACCCGCAGAAGAAGCACCGGCUAACUCCGUGCCAGCAGCCGCGGUAAUACGGAGGGUGCAAGCGUUAAUCGGAAUUACUGGGCGUAAAGCGCACGCAGGCGGUCUGUCAAGUCGGAUGUGAAAUCCCCGGGCUCAACCUGGGAACUGCAUUCGAAACUGGCAGGCUAGAGUCUUGUAGAGGGGGGUAGAAUUCCAGGUGUAGCGGUGAAAUGCGUAGAGAUCUGGAGGAAUACCGGUGGCGAAGGCGGCCCCCUGGACAAAGACUGACGCUCAGGUGCGAAAGCGUGGGGAGCAAACA
rnacentral:rRNA from 1 species